AGGGGUAACAGGGAGAAGCUUGCUUUUCCGCUGACGACCGGCGCACGGGUGCGUAACGCGUAUGCAAUCUACCUCUUACUGGGGUAUAGCCCAGAGAAAUUUGGAUUAAUCCCCCAUAGUACCAUUUGAUCGCAUGAUUAGAUGGUUAAAGGUUACGGUAAGAGAUGAGCAUGCGUCCCAUUAGUUUGUUGGCGAGGUAACGGCUCACCAAGACUUCGAUGGGUAGGGGUUCUGAGAGGAUGACCCCCCACACUGGUACUGAGACACGGACCAGACUCC
rnacentral:rRNA from 2 species